rfam:Mesocricetus auratus contig182287, whole genome shotgun sequence.
GGAUUCAGAGGCAACCUGGCUGGGACAUUUGUCAACCCAUUGACUGCUAGAGCUGAUUCAGAUUGUCUGGCUAGCUAGGUGUGUUCAUCCUUCCUCCCUCACUGCGCCUAUAUGUUCCUCUUGAAGCUGUGUGCUUUGACAAAAAGUAUGGCCUUCCCCUACAGAGGAUGAUAUAGUCUUUAGUCAUAGGUAUGCAAACAGCUGUGUUAGAAUUUCCACACAAAUUCUACAAACAGACACACACCCACGUGGAGGGAUGGAGGAAGAGAGAGAGAGAGAGAUAUCCCAAAAUGAUGAUAAAUGAAUUGUAGUUGUUACAUUUCUUU